GUGCCCGUAGCUCAAUUGGACAGAGCAUCAGCCUUCUAAGCUGAGGGUUGCGCGUUCGAUUCGCGCCGGGCACA
rnacentral:tRNA from 1 species